rnacentral:rRNA from 1 species
GACGAACGCUGGCGGCGUGCUUAACACAUGCAAGUCGAACGGAAAGGCCCUGCUUGCAGGGUACUCGAGUGGCGAACGGGUGAGAAACACGUGGGUGAUCUGCCCUACACUUCGGGAUAAGCCUGGGAAACUGGGUCUAAUACCGGAUAGGAGCCAUUUUUAGUGUGAUGGUUGGAAAGUUUUUUCGGUGUAGGAUGAGCUCGCGGCCUAUCAGCUUGUUGGUGGGGUAAUGGCCUACCAAGGCGGCGACGGGUAGCCGGCCUGAGAGGGUGGACGGCCACAUUGGGACUGAGAUACGGCCCAGACUCCUACGGGAGGCAGCAGUGGGGAAUAUUGCACAAUGGGCGCAAGCCUGAUGCAGCGACGCCGCGUGGGGGAUGACGGCCUUCGGGUUGUAAACUCCUUUCGCUAGGGACGAAGCUUUUGUGACGGUACCUAGAUAAGAAGCACCGGCUAACUACGUG